rnacentral:tRNA from 1 species
GUUUUUAUAGUUUAAUUAAAAACAUUGGUCUUGUAAACCAAAAUUAAGAACUUAUCUUUAAAAACU